GGGGAAGAUGUCUUCAGCCUUAGUAAACUAUUUGCCCUUGACCCGGGCUCACAAUGGUCAAUAUUGAUGAAUGAAAGAAAAGCUUAGAAUAACAGUGAAAUGAUAGUAUAUUUUCUUGGAAUGCGUGUUACAACCUGCUUAAUGAAUCAUCGGACUCCCUUUAUAUAGUAGGGGAAUUCUACUUUAAGUAUAACUCUAUAAAAAGUAAAAAAUCUUCUGUUUAACUGAUUGUCAUUUUUUCAUCAGUACAUGCCGAGAUCCACGCCGUGAUAUCCGGCUGGUCACGGAUAUUACGGCCCCCUGUUGGCCGUGCUUGAUUGCCCGACGACGCUCUCCGAAAUCCUUCAGGUUUUAGGUAAAUCUCGAAUCAUGACCCCGAUAUUAUCGAGGAUCGAUGGUCCUCAUACUCUAAUUCGAGGAUAUCGUUGCUUCGAUUCCGAUCUUUCAUAAUUAUAUUUCGAGCUCGUUUUACCCUGUUGGAGGUCAGAGUGUAUCAUGAACCUGAUUUUUAUAUGUACACAAAUAUUAUGAAAAAUUUCCCCAAUUUACUGGAAUGCACAAACUUACAUCGUUGAAGGCAGUCCUAAUUUACUCGCUAAUACCAAAAGAGAAGCAAAAGAAAUUCUUGGCAAAUACUUAUGUUGUUUCAGGCAUAUUACCGAACACCUUGGAUUCAUCAGUCUUCAUAUUUUGAAAUUUUAACACAUUGAGUAGAAUUAAAAAAAAAACAGUUGAAGAAGAGAAAUAACCAAUAAAAUAGAAAUUGUCUAAAACUGUAAAACCUUUACUUAGAAAGAACACCAUAAAAAUAUAUCUAUAAAUAUACUAAUACUGUCAAUAACUAAUUUGUUUAGGCAGCAAUGACCCAAUCCUCAAACAUAAGUUUAAAAUUACAGAUUUUUGCAUAAACAUUUCGAUUCGCAGAAAUUUAUUAGUGGCAAAAAUCAGAAAAGACGUCAACGAUAACGCAUUUAGAUGCACGAAGUCAUCUAUAUUUCAACCAUGCAUGUGGGGAUCAGAUAGAAUUACAGAUGGGCAUGCAAAAGAUGUAGUAAUAAAUUAGGAGGAAGAGUGAAAAAAUCAAAAUCUAGAAAAAAGGGACAAAACUUUCAAAGGAACUAAACAGAAAUGUAAAAGCAGAGGGAAGAAGAACUUGCCAAAAGCAGACAUACAGGAGGAAGAAGAAAAGAUGGAGAGAGAUAAAAACGUACCAAAGGUGGGUCUCUAAUCAAUGACACAUAAUAAGUUCGAAAUAGACAAAAAAGCGAGAUUAGUUUGCUGAAAUGCCCUCACUUUAGGUCAUAUUAACAGAAAUAUCCUUCGUAGUACAAAGAACCUCCACUUAUUAUAUAGUUAAAAAAAAUCAACGAUAACACGUUUAGAUACACCAAGUCAUCUAUCUUUCAACCACGCAUGUGGGGAUCGGCCAGAGUUACAGAUGGGCAUGCAAAAGAUCUAGCAAUAAAUUAGGAGAAAGAGUGGGAAAAUCAAAAUCUAAAAAAAAGGGGAUAAAAGUUUCAAAGGAAUCCAGAAGUGAUGAGCAGAAAUUAUUGCAAGAAAGGAAACGAACAUGAGAAACUUACCAGAAGUAGUGCAUGAAAUAGAGGCUGCAAAAUAUAAGCAAAGAAACUAAAAAUUUUGAAAUAAAACUAAACAGAAAUGAAAAAGCAGAGGGAAGAAAAACUCACCAAAAAGCAGACAUACAUGGGGAAGAAGAACAAACGGAGAGAGAUAAAAUCGUUCC
rnacentral:lncRNA from 1 species